rnacentral:rRNA from 1 species
UACGUAGGGGGCUAGCGUUGUCCGGAAUCAUUGGGCGUAAAGCGCGUGUAGGCGGUCCGGUAAGUCCGCUGUGAAAGUCGGGGGCUCAACCCUCGGAUGCCGGUGGAUACUGUCGGGCUUGAGUACGGAAGAGGCGAGUGGAAUUCCUGGUGUAGCGGUGAAAUGCGCGGAUAUCAGGAGGAACACCGAUGGCGAAGGCAGUUCUCUGGGCCGUAACUGACGCUGAGGAGCGAAAGCGUGGGGAGCGAACAGG